CCUACGUGUGGCUGCAGUGAGGAAUAUUGGUCAAUGGACGAGAGUCUGAACCAGCCAAGUAGCGUGAAGGAUGACUGCCCUAUGGGUUGUAAACUUCUUUUAUAAAGGAAUAAAACGAGGAACUUGUGCCUUUUUGCAUGUACUUUAUGAAUAAGGAUCGGCUAACUCCGUGCCAGCAGCGGCUGUAAUACGGAGGAUCCGAGCGUUAUCCGGAUUUAUUGGGUUGAAAGGGGACGUAGAGGGGUUGUUACGGCAGUUGGGAAAGUUUGCGGAUCAACCGUAAAAUUGCAAUUGAUACUGGAAGUCUUGAGUACAGUUGAGGUAGGCGGAAUUCGUGGGGUAGCGGUGAAAUGCUUAGAGAUCACGAAGAACCCCGAUUGCGAAGGCAGCUUACUAAACUGUAACUGACAUUGAUGCUCGAAAGUGUGGGUAUCAAACAGGAUUAGAUACCCCGGUAGUC
rnacentral:rRNA from 1 species